GAUGAACGCUGGCGGCGUGCUUAACACAUGCAAGUCGAACGGAAAGGCUCCUGCUUGCAGGGGUACUCGAGUGGCGAACGGGUGAGUAACACGUGGGUGAUCUGCCCUGCACUUCGGGAUAAGCCUGGGAAACUGGGUCUAAUACCGGAUAGGACGAUGGUUUGGAUGCCAUUGUGGAAAGUUUUUCGGUGUGGGAUGAGCUCGCGGCCUAUCAGCUUGUUGGUGGGGUAAUGGCCUACCAAGGCGUCGACGGGUAGCCGGCCUGAGAGGGUGUACGGCCACAUUGGAACUAGGUUACGGCCCGAAUCCUAACGGGGGGCGGCGUUGGGAAUUAUGCCACAUUGGGCGAAGCCCUAUGGCGGGAAGCCGGCGGGGGGAUGACGGCCUUCGGGUUGUAAACUCCUUUCGCUAGGGACGAAGCGCAAGUGACGGUACCUGGAGAAGAAGCACCGGCUAACUACGUG
rnacentral:rRNA from 1 species